UUCUAAUAAUUCAACGGUCCGGAGUCAAUUAUUCCGCUUAUACUACGGUUGCCACACCUCAAUACAUCGAUCAGAUGAUAUAUUUCAAGGGAUUCGUCCGGUUUUUCUACUUAAAUCGCUAUUGGGAGUAGGAUUAUUUCUUCCGCAUCUCAUCCAACGACUCUUUUGCUAGUUCCAAAACGUCAUUUUAAAGCUGGCAAUGGAGGCUUGAGCCGUUGAUAGCAGACUAAUGCAGUUAAUAAUGAAGUUAUUAGAAAGAGAGCGAGAGAGACAGAGAAAGAGAAACAGAGAGAGAGAGCUUGUAUGAAUUAGGCUACCUCUGUGUGUCCCUCAACAGUGUUCUGAAGCACCGUCUCUAAACUUUAACUAUGCGAAGUGAUAUGGAACUGUAAUGCGGUCAAGAGAGCUGCCUGGAACUACGUUCGCCGUGCGUUUCCCUGAAAAUAAUUGCACACCUCAGAACGUUCGUCAGCCAAUCAGAUUCAAGCAUUCAACGGUCCCGUAGUAUAAUGGUACUUAAGACAUGGCGCCUUCAACGCUGUAGAUGCUGUAUUUCAGCCUUUUCAGAUCGGCCGCAGCAUGAGUUUGGGCAGAGCUGGAGAGAGCAAUGGAGCAGGAAAGGACAGAGAGGAUAUGUGGUGGUAGCAAAAACGUACUGAGAACACCGCUGCUGAGUGAUCUGUUCAGUCAAGUUUCUGAAUAUUUUUUUAUCUAUAGCAACGAACAUUGUUGUCAUUUUAGUCAGACAUGCGCAAUAGUCAUUGUGAUAAAUUCUUUAUUUGAAUGCAUUUCUGUAUAUGAUACAGUGCAUUUAAACAUCUGUAGAAUAUUGACUUGUUUCUGAGAAUUCUUUGAAAACAGCGUGAAGUUUUAGUGACAGAAGACUGAUCUGCUGAGCUGAAGAUCCUUUCUGUAGUGGAUCCCGGAAAAUAUGUAGCUGAAAGGACAGCGAGCCAGUCCAGCAGGGGGAUCCAGGAGGCACAAGAAUGGCAUGAGUUUGGAGGAGUUCCAGGCAGCCUUGUGAUGCGUGCUUGGCGCCAAGCUACAGAUGGGCCAGAUGGAGAUGCUCUUCAAGAAGGUAGAUCUGACAGCUUUGUCGACUGGGAGGUACAAGGAAAAGGAGUUGAUCUCUCAAACUAGAGAUCCACUUCUCACCCUAUAGCCACAGAUCAGGCACUGCCAAUAUAAAAAAGGUUACAGGAUUUUCACUGUGCUUUACAUGCAUCCUUUCACUGUGCUGUAUUCAUCUGAUCCCUCAUUGUUUGGUUACAUCUCCAACCUCCCCAACAGCAAGAGCCAACAACAAAUGUCCAGAGUUUCAGCCCCCACUGCUGCACUUUAUGUCUGUCAGCAAAAAGGGCACUCAAAUCACCUGGCACAGCAACCUGGAAAUGAUGAGGACUCAACAGGCAACCCCACCUAACAAUAGUUCCUAACUUCUGAUUCGUCCACUCUCCUCCUGACAAUAGUUCCUAACUUCUGAUUCGUCCACUCAGUCCUCCUCACAGUAGUUUCUAACUUCUGAUUCGUCCACUCACUCCUCCUGACAAUAGUUCCUAACUUCUGAUUCGUCCACUCACUCCCCCUGACAAUAGUUCCUAACUUCUGAUUCGUCCACUCACCCACCCCCUACUGAUAAUAGUGCUUGACUUCUAAUUUGGCCACUAAUGACUUUUCUGUCAAUUUAUGUAUCAAUGAAGUAUCAAUUCUUUACCCUGAAAUCCCUAUGAUCUGUGUGUUGAUUUACAAAAACUCCUAGGGAACACCAGUGAAGGAGACAGGAACAAAAGGAAGUUCAGGAAGUGGGCGACUGAUGCUUCCUACAUGCCUAAUGUCCACAGGAUUGCUGUUGUCACCACCAGCAGGGACAUCCACUUCUUUGAUGCCUCCAUUUGGCGCAUGCCCAAGGGCCAGAUUUCCAAACAAAUAUUGCUUUACUUCAAAAAUGACACGUGUCUUUUAUUUUGUUCAUGGUUAUAUCGCAGGAAUAAAAAAUGUUCCAACUGCA